rnacentral:misc_RNA from 1 species
GUAGUCGUCUAGACAUAGAGCCGGAGAAGGAAACAAGUGCUGUUCGUUUGCCAGUACUAGAAACGCCUCUACGGUUGAAAAACGCAAUCGGUGCAGAGCGAGAAAAGAAAUGGAAAACAAUUGAUUUAUUUCGCCUGUUUUUCUUCAUGCAGCGUCGGAACAUGUUUCGUUCUUCUUAUGAGUAAAAUUCAGUGAAGUGUGUGUUAAAGGCCUGGGCUAGGUGGUUUUAUGUGCCCAAGUCACAUACUCUUGCGUCUGGUGAGUGGUGGCCGUGAGUUAUGCAGUCUUUAUACUGCAAUAUUGUCUCAGGCCAGUUGAGUUGAAGCUGUAUGUACUUACACCAAAAUGCCAAACAUUUAUGAAGAAAUUGACGAAAGUAUCAAAGCUCCGGUGAUGAGUGAAAGCAUGAAGAAAGAAAAGACAGCCUGUGUGGAGAUAGAUUUCCCAGCUACCACCAAGUCCUUUGGUUUCCGGGAUCGGCUUGGAGUGGUUCUGUGUAUACUUGUUUGUGAACUGUGUGAGCGGCUAACCUACUAUAGUAUUGCAGGAAAUCUGGUGCUUUACUGCACCAAUGUUCUGAAAUUCUCCAGUGCUGAUGCAACCACAAUUUCCUUCAUCUUUACGGGAACAUCCUACCUUGUGCCAGUGAUUGGUGGAUGGAUUGCUGACACAGUAGCGGGGAAAUAUAAUGCUAUACUUGGAUCAGCUCUCAUUUAUUGCAUAGGCACAACUUUGCUACCUAUCAUCUCCAUUGAUUACACCAAGUAUGGCCCCCAUCUAGGGCUGACCAACAGCCAGCAGCGAGGUUUUUUCCUGUUUGGUAUUGCCAUCAUUGCUAUCGGUACAGGAGGCAUCAAAUCAAAUGUCGGCCCUUUUGGAGCUCAACAGUUAGAUGAUCUUGGAGAAGGUCCUGUCAAAUCCUUCUUUAACUGGUUCUACUGGUUCAUCAAUGUUGGUUCAGCUGUCUCCUUUUCAGCAGUGGUCUAUGUGCAACAGGAAAUUGGAUUUGAUGUUGGGUUUGCCAUUCCAGCUGUCUCAAUUGUUGUGGCUAUUAUCAUGCUUUUGAUUGGUCGAAAGUGGUAUUGUAUGAAGGCACCAGAGGGGAGUGUUUUCACAACUGUUGCCAAAAUCAUUUGGGAGGCUGUCACCAGACUUCGGAUGCCUAACACCAGGAAAGAUCAGAUGACCAGCUGGCUUGAUAGUGCCAAGCAUAGCUUUGGAGGUCACUUUCCUGAUUUAAAGGUGAAUGAGGUGAAAUCCCUGGGAAGAAUUCUGCCUGUCUUUAUUGUCAUCAUCUUCUACUGGACUGUGUACUACCAGAUGUCCACAACCUAUUUGCUGCAAGGUGAGCGUAUGCGUCUCAUCUACAGUGGUUUCACUAUUCCGGUAGCUGCUAUCAACCUCUUCAACAUUGCAAUUAUUCUUGUCCUCAUUCCUUUUGUGGAUCGUGUCUUCUACCCGUGUAUGGCCAGGAUCGGAUAUCCUCUCACAAAAUUGAAACGAAUUGGCGUUGGUAUGGUCUUGGCUGUAUUCUCCAUGGGACUAGCAGCUGGAAUUGAAUUUGCUCGGAAAGCAAGCAUUGAAGAGUAUGGAUACUUCAAACAGGAAGUGGCUGACAAGGUUUUCAAUGCAUCUGAGUUGUCUAUUUUUGCACAGGUUCCUCAGUACACAUUGAUAGGAGCCAGUGAGGUGUUCACAAGUAUUACAGAACCCUAGCGGCAGACCGCUGGAGUGGAAUCACGCACCCUGUGGAAGCUAUGCUGUUGCAGACACUGAAGCAAGCCAUCUUGUCACCUUUCACAGCAUAGACACCUUGAAAAGCACAAGGACGAAAUAGACUUCGGAUUUGGAGCCAACACGGGUGAUGAAGUCCCCCAUCAGAAGGAUCUUAUCCGCAUGUGGGAUAGAGCAAAAAAUGUGGUCCAAGGAUCGAUAGAAUUUGUCCUCCACCUCAUCUAUUGCUAACAGGAGGGGAGUGCCUCACCAGGCCUGGUAACCUGGUCAGGUGUUGAGGGAAUUGUUUCGGCCAUCUUUUAUGGGUCGUUCCAUUUGAUGGCAAGCAGUGCUUUCCUAAAAAGCUCCCCAGUCACACCAGCAGGACACAAAGGGAGUGUUUGUUCCCAGGUCCACCUGACAAUAGCCAUCACACUGGUGCCACUCCUGUGCAGAGUCCUGACUAGAAGCUCUCUGCCCUACUUCAGUCGCCACGGCCUCCAUCACCAGAAGACUUGAGAUGGAGGAAGGGGAGAUGAGGAUGGAAACUUGCGCAUGCUUUGUUUAAGGUGAUGGAUGGGUUGCGAAGUCCCUUCUUGCACACACUUGGACUAGCUCCAGCAACUCCGAUGGCAAGGAUAAUCCAGGAUCGGGCUGGAGGUCAUCUGCAUUAGGCUGCCAGAGAGUCUGUUUGUCGAAAUCCGCCUUUCGGACGAAGCUUUAGUUCAAGUCCGCCUGACAGCCAGCCCAGCUGACUGAUUAGGUGAUGGAUUUUACUGGUGCCCUUUUAUCCAUAGCCAGGCCUGGAGUUUGCAUACUCUCAAUCCCCCAAAGCUAUGCAAGGAGUUGUCAUGGGGC